rnacentral:rRNA from 1 species
GCGUGUGUGAAGAAGGCCUGAGGGUUGUAAAGCACUUUCGUAUGUGAAGAAGGGUUGAUGGCUAAUACCCAUUGACAUUGACGUUAGCAUAAGAAGAAGCACCGGCUAACUCUGUGCCAGCAGCCGCGGUAAUACAGAGGGUGCAAGCGUUAAUCGGAAUUACUGGGCGUAAAGCGCGCGUAGGUGGUUAAUUAAGUUGGAUGUGAAAGCCCCGGGCUUAACCUGGGAGGGUCAUUCAAAACUGGUUGACUAGAGUAUGGUAGAGGGUAGUGGAAUUCCUGGUGUAGCGGUGAAAUGCGU